GAUGAACGCUGGCGGCGUGCUUAACACAUGCAAGUCGAACGGAACUGUUUGGAUGAAGUUUUCGGAUGGAUUUUAAACAGUUUAGUGGCGGACGGGUGAGUAACGCGUGGGUAACCUGCCUCACACUGGGGGAUAACAGUUAGAAAUAGCUGCUAAUACCGCAUAAGCGCACGGCUCCGCAUGGAGCAGUGUGAAAAACUCCGGUGGUGUGAGAUGGACCCGCGUCUGAUUAGCCAGUUGGCGGGGUAACGGCCUACCAAGUCGACGAUCAGUAGCCGGACUGAGAGGUUGAACGGCCACAUUGGGACUGAGAUACGGCCCAG
rnacentral:rRNA from 1 species